AAAAAAAUUGACUGUAUGCCACUGUAUCAAUUAACAGUUUUAUUACGAUUUAUUACGAUUGGAUAAUGUGAUUGUAAAUUGAGUAUAAUUUUUUCACACACCUUCUGUUAGAUUAAAAUAUUUAGAAUUAUGUCUAUUACAUAUCGGCUAUUUUAGAAAUUUCGAAAAGCGAACAAAUUUAUAUUUUUCUAAUGAUUAAGGGGGUGAUAAUACAAAAUUAAUUUCUCUUGAAAGAAAAUCCAAUUGAAUAAUAUAAUUCUAAAAAUCUGUAGAACACGGUUGGACAUAGACACUCUGUAUUAUACCGCAUCUGUUGUACAUCUACUAAAUAAUUUGUAUUUCUCAGAUGAACCCUGCAGCUCAUACGAUUAUCCGUGUUAUCUUCAAGUGAGUUGAAAUGAAAUAAACGCUCAAAACUCACCGUCAUAAUACCAGCUAAACAACCAAUUUACACAAGUGUCAACCACGCUACUACGGCGAUCAUGGCGAGCAGGUAUUUAGAUCAAAUAAUAAAAUGAAUGAAACCUAUAUGAAACAGUGUAAAAUAUUAUCUCCGAUAAACUGACGGAACUGGCUCGAAAACUAAGCUGAUGUAAAAUGCUAACUUGAAUACGAUCUCAUAAGAUAAAACAAACAGUUGUAUAAAAAUGUGUACUUUUUUUACUUACCUGGG